rnacentral:rRNA from 1 species
UACGAAGGGUGCAAGCGUUAAUCGGAAUUACUGGGCGUAAAGCGUGCGUAGGCGGUUGGCUAAGUCAGAUGUGAAAGCCCUGGGCUCAACCUGGGAAUGGCAUUUGAAACUGGCGAGCUAGAGUGUGAUAGAGGAUGGCGGAAUUCCCGGUGUAGCGGUGAAAUGCGUAGAGAUCGGGAGGAACACCAGUGGCGAAGGCGACUACCUGGCCUGUUCUUGACGCUGAGGCGCGAAAGCUAGGGGAGCAAACGGG